GGGAUUGCCCCAGUAACGGCGAGUGAAGCGGCAACAGCUCAAAUUUGAAAUCUGGCCCCCCGGGUCCGAGUUGUAAUUUGCAGAGGAUGCUUUCGGUGCGGCCCCUUCUGAGUCCCCUGGAAUGGGGCGCCAUAGAGGGUGAGAGCCCCGUAUAGUCGGACGCCAAACCGGUGUAAAGCUCCUUCGACGAGUCGAGUAGUUUGGGAAUGCUGCUCAAAAUGGGAGGUAAAUUUCUUCUAAAGCUAAAUACCGGCCAGAGACCGAUAGCGCACAAGUAGAGUGAUCGAAAGAUGAAAAGCACUUUGAAAAGAGGGUUAAACAGCACGUGAAAUUGUUGAAAGGGAAGCGCUUGUGACUAGACUCGCGCCGGGCGGAUCAUCCAGCGUUCUCGCUGGUGCGCUCCGCCCGGCCCGGGCCAGCAUCGGUUUCCGCUGGGGGACAAAGGCUCCGGGAACGUAGCUCUCUUCGGGGAGUGUUAUAGCCCGGUGCGUAAUACCCCGGCGGGGACCGAGGACCGCGCUUCGGCAAGGAUGCUGGCGUAAUGGUCAUCAGCGACCCGUCUUGAAACACGGACCAAGGAGUCAAGCAUUAGGGCGAGUGUUUGGGUGUAAAACCCGCACGCGUAAUGAAAGUGAACGUAGGUGAGAGCUUCGGCGCAUCAUCGACCGAUCCUGAUGUAUUCGGAUGGAUUUGAGUAGGAGCCUUAACGCUUGGACCCGAAAGAUGGUGAACUAUGCCUGUAUAGGGUGAAGCCAGAGGAAACUCUGGUGGAGGCUCGCAGCGGUUCUGACGUGCAAAUCGAUCGUCAAAUAU
rnacentral:rRNA from 1 species